rnacentral:rRNA from 1 species
UACGAAUGGUCCAAACGUUGUUCGGAUUCACUGGGCUUAAAGGGCGCGUAGGCGGUGCGUUAAGUCGGCGGUGAAAUACUUCGGCUCAACCGGAGAAUUGCCGCUGAAACUGGCGUGCUCGAGGGAGGUAGAGGUGCGUGGAACUUCCGGUGGAGCGGUGAAAUGCGUUGAUAUCGGAAGGAACACCUGUGGCGAAAGCGAUGCACUGGACCUCUUCUGACGCUGAGGCGCGAAAGCCAGGGUAGCGAACGGG